UGGAAUCUCAAUGCUGGGCAGCCAGGGCCAAAUCCACAUCCCCCCAACAUUGGGUACCCUGGAGGUUCCAGUCUUGCCCGUCUACCACCUAUCAAUCCACCUUUUCCACCAGGCUCCUUCCGCAGGAGCUUCCCAGGGCAAUCCAGCUUUCCCCCUAGGUGGGCCCCCUCAUCCUGUGCCACAGCCAGGGUAUCCAGAAUGCCCACCCUCGGGUCCCUACCCUCCUUCGUACCCACUGCCUGCCCCUGGAAUGCCUCCUUAGAAUCCCUUGGCCCCUGGCAUGGUUGGUCCAGGAGUGAUAGUGGACAAGAAGAUGUAGAAGAAAAUGAAGAAAGCUUAUAAAAACAUGCACCAGCACCACAAGCAUGGCAGGCAUUGCUUCUCCUCUUCCUCCUCCUCUUCCAGCAGUGACUCUGACUGGAUCCAGGCCCUGGACCCUUCCCUCAGGUCUCACCAGUUCUGCUCUCCUAUCAAGCUUCAGAUGCCCUGUUGUUUUGGGGGAAAGUAGCUCUUGAGCUCCCCACCCUUACCACCACCUGAGCCUCACCCUGCUGUUCAGCCCUGAGUGCCUAGGGAAAAUGGGAAGAUGAUUGCCAUGGCAUGGCCACUUUCUUGCUGUUUGGAUAGAUUAUAUAGCUAAUGAGUUUAGCAGGAGAGCUAUUUUUUGAAGAUGAUGAACUAAGUGUUGAAGAUAAGUUUGAGAUCUGUAAAAUGUGAUUUUUUUGCUUCCUCUUAUAAUACUUGUGAUUGGGGGGAUUUGUGGAAACUUGAUUAUGAUGAAAAACCUCAAUUUUUUUUUGUAAUGUUGGCAUACUUGGGGAAUUCAGUGGCAAAUACAUUCCCCAGCAGGCCUUUUGUUGGUUGCACUAACUGCAAGGUUGCUGAGAAGUAGAGUC